rnacentral:rRNA from 1 species
AACGAACGCUAGCGGCAGGCUUAACACAUGCAAGUCGAACGGUUGCAGCAAUGCAGCAGUGGCAGACGGGUGAGUAACACGUGGGAACCUUCCUAGGGGUACGGAACAACUCAGGGAAACUUGAGCUAAUACCGUAUACGUCCGUGAGGAGAAAGAUUUAUCGCCCUUAGACGGGCCCGCGUCGGAUUAGCUAGGUGGUGGGGUAACGGCCUACCAAGGCGACGAUCCGUAGCUGAUCUUAGAGGAUGAUCAGGCACACUGGGACUGAGACACGGCCCAGACUCGUACGGGAGGCAGCAGUGGGGAAUCUUGGACAAUGGGCGCAAGCCUGAUCCAGCCAUGCCGCGUGAGUGAAGAAGGUCUUCGGAUUGUAAAGCUCUUUUGCCAGGGACGAUAAUGACGGUACCUGGAGAAUAAGCCCCGGCAAACUUCGUGCCAGCAGCCGCGGUAA